rnacentral:tRNA from 1 species
UCCCCCGUCGUCUAAGGGCAGGACACCGGUCUUUGGAACCGUGAAUCGAGGUUCGAAUCCUCGCGGGGGAGCCG